CGCCACCCGCUCCCGUCCCCAUGGCGUCCGCCUCCCGCGCCUUGACGAAGCCCCCGCAGGUCCUAGUCCUCGACCCACCCACGGACCUCAAGUUCAAAGGCCCCUUCACCGCGGUGGUCACGGCUCAUCUUAAACUGCGCAACCCGUCGGCGAGGAAGGUGUGUUUCAAGGUGAAGAGCACCAGCCCUGGGCGCUACUGCGUGCGGCCCCACAGCGGAGUCAUCGACCCGGAUUGCACCGUGACGAUCGCUGCCAUGCGGCAACCCCUCUGCUGCGGCCCCAGCAAGGAGGUCAAGCACAAAUUCAUGGUGCAGACAGUGUUUGCUCCUCCAGACAUUUCGGAUCUGGAGGCCGUGUGGAGGGAGGCAAACCCCAGGGAACUAAUGGAUUCGAAACUGAGGUGUGUAUUUGAAGCGCCAACAGAAAGUGAAAUACUGGAGGACGGCUUGAGACUCAGAAAGGCAACACAUCCCGACAAACCCAGACCCUCCUCCUUCACGUCCUUGAAGCAGGCUUGCACCACGCCUCUUACUGUUGUUCUGCUGGUGAUCGGAGCAGUGUUCUUUGGAUUCUUUCUAGGGAAAUUCGUCUUGUAGAGUGAGAGGCACGCACACUAUCCCCCACACCCUACACUCCCCCCUUCCCCCAACGAAGACCAGGAAAAAAAAAAAGAUUUCUUUAUCCACCAUCUAUUGGAAGUAUGGCCCGCCCGCGGUGGCAGAUUUGUGUGCGGGUAGUCACAUAGGCUUCUCUCCUAAUGAUCUCUUGUGAUUGGAGGACGCAAUAAACUAACAAACCAAAUAAAGAACUGUUGGGCUACUGGUCAGAUUGCCUAUUAUCGGAUCAUCAAAGCCAGUUGCCCAUUCAGUGCGUGGUG